GGCCUGGGGUUUCCUCGUUGCCCAAGCGAUCUGAGUAUGGCAUGGAAAGUGCUUGGAAAUUGUCACCCCCAUUGACACAACAAGGAAAAAUCUGAAUAGAUUGAAAAUCAAUAAUGUCUCUGGAAUUCAUUAGAUAAUUGAAGACACAGAAAAAUCACUACCACAAAAAUUACAAGGAUUGUCUGUCAGAUCAAGAGAAUCACAACUUAUUCCAACAUUAGCCAAGACUAAAACUUCCACUGGAACUAGUAUCAAGAAUCAAUUGACCUGGGAGAAAAAUACCCAACUCCAGCCUGCUAUAGCCUACUCCAUGAGGAAAAGAAAAUGCCCAAUCCAAUCCACUCUAGUCUUCAAUGUAGAAGAAGGGAAAUACUCAACUCUAGCAACCCCCAGCCUUCCUGUCUUACUGAAGGUAAUAACAGAAGAAGAGCACCAUUUGGUCUACUGCACCUGGGGCAAUUUACGCCAGCCAGGUGUCCAGCAUUGAAUAUGCAGGAACUAUAAUUCACCUUAGAACCCAUUAAUCCACCUCUGAGAUGAUGACAUAAAAAUCAGGCUCAAUAAGAUUAUGUGGAGGCCCAACAUGCGUG